rnacentral:rRNA from 1 species
AGUGAACGCUGGCGGUAGGCCUAACACAUGCAAGUCGAACGGCAGCACAGUAAGAGCUUGCUCUUACGGGUGGCGAGUGGCGGACGGGUGAGGAAUACAUCGGAAUCUACUUUUUCGUGGGGGAUAACGUAGGGAAACUUACGCUAAUACCGCAUACGACCUACGGGUGAAAGCAGGGGAUCUUCGGACCUUGCGCGAUUGAAUGAGCCGAUGUCGGAUUAGCUAGUUGGCGGGGUAAAGGCCCACCAAGGCGACGAUCCGUAGCUGGUCUGAGAGGAUGAUCACCCAAACGGAAAUGAGGACAGGUUCCAGACCCCUACGGGGGGCAGCAGGGGGAAAAAUUGAACAAGGGGCGCAAGCUUAAUCCAGCCAUACCGGGGGGGUGAAGAAGGCCUUGGGGUGGAAAAGCCCUUUGUUUGGAAAAAAAAGCAGCAGGUUAAUACCCCGCUGUUCUGACGGUACCCAAAGAAUAAGCACCGGCUAACUUCGUG